GUGUGGGUGUGUAAGCGUGUGUUUCCCACAGGUUCGACACAGUCUGAUUAAAACCCCGUUGGAUUCGCUGGAAACGUGCUUCUGAUGAUACGAUGGCGGUGAAAAAUGAGCGCUGCGUAAUCAAGUCCGGGACGGUGGCACCAUCGUUUGCAGUCGAGUUGCGGCUCUGCCACCUUUAACCUUUGUUCAGCUUCGCCACACUGUGGGCUUUACAGAGUGGAGCAAUCGCAGGAAUUUGCCGCAGUUUGUUUAUUCUGAGGAGGGUGGCGCAAUAAGGUAGUUAUGGGAUUUUGACUGCUAUUUUUAUCUAUUUUUUAAAAAUAAAAAUAAAUCUUUUAAGUAGGUUUGAAGAAAUGACAACUUACAGCAGCAGAGUCCAAACUUUUUGUCACGUGGGACAAAAUCAUGAUGUCAAAAUUAUGCGCAAGCCAAGAGAAUAAUAACAAUAAACUAAAAUCAAAGAAAUCGUAUUGAUAUUUUCUGACAGCAGCUGGUCUCAAGAUUUAUCCAUCACCCAAGUGGGGAGGGAGAGAGUCGGAGCCGACUCUGAUGAGAAGCAGCCAGACUUCGGACCAUGUUAUCCUACCGAAGCGGUGGUCUGCUGCUGGAAGUCCACAGACUCCAAUGUGAGCUUGAGAGCCGAAUGUUCCCAGUUUGUCCUUCCAGUUUAAAGUCAGACUGAUAAAAUCUUUCCUUUAGACUUCUAAGAAGCCUAUGAGUAAUUUAUUAAAAACUUCCCCUCUAUCAGUAAUCAGGUUUCGUGUCAUUAUUUUGUUUUUUUCGGUUUCAUUUGUUAAGUGUGUCAUUAGUUCUGAUCCAAAAGAAAAAUGUGGAUGUUUGUUUUAGUAAGGAACCAUCAAUAAUCCUUUAUUUUUUAAAUUAAAACAUUAACCAGUCUUUAUAUCGAUUCUAAAUAAACCAUAAAUCCUGAGAAACUUAUAGAAAUGUCUUCCACUCAUCUUCCAUUAUGUAGCAUAGAGCGCCCCCUGGAAAGGAACUGAGCAUUUUCUUCAUCCAUCCAGAUUUUUCUUUACCUAACUUAUAAGAAAAUCGUCAUUAAUAAAGCUUAAAAGCAAAUAUUCAUUUUUUUAAAAAAAGAGAGAG